rnacentral:rRNA from 1 species
GACGUAGGGUGCAAGCGUUGUCCGGAUUUAUUGGGCGUAAAGAGCUCGUAGGCGGCUUGUUGCGUCGACUGUGAAAACCCGCGGCUUAACCGCGGGCUUGCAGUUGAUACGGGCAGGCUAGAGUUCGGUAGGGGAGACUGGAAUUCCUGGUGUAGCGGUGAAAUGCGCAGAUAUCAGGAGGAACACCGGUGGCGAAGGCGGGUCUCUGGGCCGAUACUGACGCUGAGGAGCGAAAGCGUGGGGAGUGAACAGG